UAAUUAGGGUCCCGCCACAGGCGGUCCCCUAUAGUGAUCAGUCUGUUCGUCCGUCCAUCCGUCCGUCCAUCCGUCCAUCCGUCCGUCCAUCCGUCCGUCCGUCCGUUCGUCCGUAACACUUUGUGUCCGCUCCAUAUCUAGAGAACCAUUAUGAUUUCAUACUUUAUACUUUACAUGUUUAUUAACCACCACCAGAGGGCG
rnacentral:lncRNA from 1 species